rnacentral:rRNA from 1 species
UUUAUGAAAACUAAUAAAAAAGUAAUUCCUGCCCAGUGACAUACAUGUUCAACGGCCGCGGUAUCCUAACCGUGCAAAGGUAGCAUAAUCACUUGCCCAUUAAUUGUGGGCUAGAAUGAAUGGACUAACGAAAUAAAUACUGUCUCUAUAAGUACAAUAAAAAUUAAUCCCUAACUGAAGAGUGUUAGAUUAUGUCGAAGGACAAGAAGACCCUAUAGAGCUUUAUCCUAACAAAGUAGAAAAAUCUUUAUUGGAUUCGGUUGGGGCGACCGGGGAAAGUUAUAAAUCAUCCCCCCUUCACAGAUAUAUGAAUCUUAAUAUUGACCCUUAACAAAGAUCACAAGAACAAGCUACCUUAGGGAUAACAGGCUAAUCUCACUAAAGAGUCCUUAUUAAUAGUGAGGUUUGGCACCUCGAUGUUGGCUUAGGGAAUCUAUGUGGCGCAAAAGUCACUUAAAGAUGGUUUGUUCAACCAAUAAUCUCCUACAUGAGCUGAGUUCAGACCGGCGUGAGCCAGGUUAGUUUCUAUCCUCGAUAACUUAAACUAUUUAUAGUACGAAAGGACCUAAAUAAGAAUAAUAAUUAUACUUAAAGAAUAAAUAUAACGCAAAUUAAAUAGAUGUAAAUAUACACUACA